AAAUCCAUCCGAAAAUAGCACAAUAAAAGUACCACCUCUAGAUUUUUCUUAAUCUUUUGAAGAAUCAAAGCAUGGGGUUUAUUUCCUUGAUGGAUUAGAGGCUUGUAAUUGGAUUGGAGGAAGGCGUCUCUACACCUCUUGGGAAUUAAUUUGUAGAGUCUCAAUCUACGCUUUUGCUAUUUUUGGAGAUUCAUAGACUUUUGUGUGGCUCGCCUCAACUUGGAAGACUAGAAAAUUUUUUUGAAGGAUCAAAUGUGGGCAUCUUGUAGUUGAGGUUGUGCUUAGGGUCAUUCUAGGAUGUAAGUUUACCUUUUAUUUUUUUAUGAAGGAGGCUGA